UUGGAGGAGGGUUGUAGGUGCAGCUGCAGCAGCAACAAGUUUCAGUAUUUGGCUUGGAUAUCUCUUGGCUAGGGUUUGGACUAUCUGAUCAUCCUUUUGUGAUGCGCUAUCCUUGGGGAGAGAUGCGCUGCUCUUUGUUUGGCUAUCUAGCCUAGGGUUUGCUUCCGGAGGAAUUCUCAGGUCAAGGUUAAGGUGCUCGGAGGGAGGAUUCGUCCUGUGGUUGGGAGACGAUGGUAUCGUCGUGGUAAAAUGAGCACACAAUCCUUUAUAUUCUAACACAUCGCACGUCUUACGGUGUCCGGUGCGCCCUCAGCGGCCCUUGAAAAUCUGGAGGACCAAGUACCGUCCAUGCCCGAUCGUACUCAUAAUCGCAUCAGGUCUUCAAGGGGAACAACCUCUAGUCAAUAGAACAAUGUAGGUAAGGGAAGUCGGCAAAAUGGAUCCGUAACUUUGGGAAAAGGAUUGGCUUUGAGGGUUGGGCCUAGGGGUCUGCUCCUCAACCCGUGGGCUGUCGGUAGUCUGCCCGUGGGACUGUCAUUGAUUAAUGCUACCUCCUUUUGAAUGGUAAUGUAACUAAUUAAUGCUACCUCCUUUUGAAUGGUAGAGCACCACCUAUAAUUCAUGAUCCAACACAUAGUAGUCAAGAAUCCCAUCCAUUGCUAAUUGUUGGGCUCUAAAGAUGUCCUAAAAAUAACCUUAGUUUAACAUUAAUUUAUCAACCCGAGGAUUCAUCUUCUAUUUCAAGAAUAUCAGCAAAGUCUAUGCAGAUAGCUCGUAGAGGCUAAAAUCCCAUAUCAAAUCUGAGUUUAUCAACAAUCAAGUUCCUCACACAUUCAUUAAGUUUCUAAAGCUAAGAUCCUACUGAACAUGAUUGAAAUCUGAUCUAUAAUGUGCUAUGAAUUG
rnacentral:ncRNA from 1 species